UGUCAAAUUAACAUAGAACUACUGAGCCAGU
rnacentral:piRNA from 1 species